CAGCCGCCGCGGUAAUACGAAGGUCCCGAGCGUUGUUCGGAAUCACUGGGCGUAAAGGGAGCGUAGGCGGCGUGGUAAGUCAGAUGUGAAAUCCCGGGGCUCAACCCCGGAACUGCAUCCGAUACUGCCGUGCUAGAAGAUUGGAGAGGUAGCUGGAAUUCUUGGUGUAGCAGUGAAAUGCGUGGAGAUCAAGAGGAACACUCGUGGCGAAAGCGAGCUACUGGACAAUAUCUGACGCUGAGGCUCGAAGGCCAGGGUAGCGAAAGGGAUUAGAUACCCCUGUAGUCCCUGUCUCUUAUAC
rnacentral:rRNA from 1 species